GGGGGCGCGUGGUUUCGACAGGGGCUCCUCCCGGUGAGAGAGCAGGCCGAGGUGCCGUGAUCUCGUUAAACACGCGGCACAAAAGUAGCUGGCAACAACCAACGCCUAGCUCUCGCUGCCUAACUUAAGGUAGCGACGUUCGGGGUCGUUUUCCCUCGCGGACGGCGCCGAGCGACAAAUCAGCGGGGUGCUGUUGACGGGUCGUCGGGGCCCGCCGACCUAAGACUUUCCGGCUGGUUGACGGGGACCCUGUUGGCCGGGGCCCCGAUCGAUGAGAAUUAAAUAGACCGACUAAGCCUGUAGCGCUCCACUCGGGACAACCUUUGGACGGGGAGUUCGACUCUCCCCCGCCUCCACCA
rnacentral:tmRNA from 1 species